UGUUUAAAUGCUCCCCCAAAGCUCACGCUGUACCACCACUGUGGUGGUAUUGGGGUGCUUUCAGAGGUGACUGAUCAUUGGGGAUCUGCCCUCAGGAAUGGUCCAUGGUUUUCACAGGAUUGAGUUGGUUAUCUUCACAUUAUGACACAGUCUUGCAGGCCUUCACCAGAGGCCCAGCAUCAUGCUCUUACAACACCUAGCCCUCAAAGAAGCACCUAUAAAUUACUCAGGCUAUGGAGUUGUGAUAACAAGAGGAAAUGGGUGAAGACAAAGGGCAACACAGGUACAUGUGAGCAGAAGAUUACACAGAAUCACCUCUGUUUAGUGAGGCAUAAAGCUUUUUUUCCAAACAGGUUUCACACAUAUUGAACGAGCACAUACUAUGUGUGCCUCUCUACUAUGGAGUGUUAGGGUACAGGAUAUGCAAGACCCAGUCCCUGCUCUAGGUUGUUUACAAUGUGCCAAAGAGGACCAAGAAGCCAUCUGCCAGGACCCAGGACCUAAUCUUUAAACAGGAUUUCAUUGGACUGAUGGGAGACAGAAAGGGAACAAGAUAAGCAAAGGCCAGAGACUGUUCUAGAGUGGUGGUAUUAGGGUCUGGCUUUAGCUCAGCUACUAAUCAGAUUGCUUCUAAAUUAAAUCCAGGCCUAACCUGCUUGAAUAUCUCUCCUCUAAUUUCCCCAGGAUUGUCCCAUAGGUAUCAAUCUUAAACGCAACUUAGCCAGCCUCACCUGAUCUCUUGUAAAUCCUCCUUCAAUGGUCUCUCUUGGUGAAUGGUACCAACCACGUAUCCAGUUCUCAAACCUGGGGAGUUACUAUACAGCUGUCCAUAUGGAGGCCACUAGCAACAGAUACUGAUCCCAAUCAAACUCUUGAAGAGGAAUUAUCACAGGAUCUUCAAAUCUGGAUGGG